GCACCCGUAGCUCAGCUGGAUAGAGCAUCUGUCUUCGGAACAGAGGGUCGGCGGUUCGAAUCCGUCCGGGUGUACCA
rnacentral:tRNA from 2 species